AGGAUAAACGCUGGCGGCGUGCCUAACACAUGCAAGUCGAACGCUCUUUUGCUCGCAAGAGCAAGAGGGAGUGGCAGACGGGUGAGUAACGCGUGGGAACAUACCCUCCGGUUCGGAAUAGCUCAGGGAAACUUGGAUUAAUACCGGAUACGGCCGAGAGGCGAAAGAUUUAUCGCCGGAGGAUUGGCCCGCGUUCGAUUAGCUAGUUGGUGAGGUAACGGCUCACCAAGGCGAUGAUCGAUAGCUGGUCUGAGAGGAUGAUCAGCCACAUUGGGACUGAGACACGGCCCAAACUCCUACGGGAGGCAGCAGUGGGGAAUAUUGGACAAUGGGCGCAAGCCUGAUCCAGCCAUGCCGCGUGAGUGAUGACGGCCUUAGGGUUGUAAAGCUCUUUCGCUCGGGACGAUAAUGACGGUACCGAGAUAAGAAGCCCCGGCUAACUUCGUGCCAGCAGCCGCGGUAA
rnacentral:rRNA from 1 species